AUUAUUUUUUCUAAAAAAAAAAAAAAAUCUGUUCUUAUCAGUUUAAUCUGAUACUGUCCCCAUCGGGGGACUAUAUAUUAAAUGGAUUUUUCGAACAGGGGAAUCGGAAAUGGGGCUUGUUCUGUCGCUCUACGCAUCGACCCGGUAUUGCAGUACUCCGGAAACGGUGCAACACUU
rnacentral:snRNA from 1 species